ACUCCUACGGGAGGCAGCAGUGAGGAAUAUUGCGCGAUGGGGGAAACCCUGACGCAGCGACGCCGCGUGGAUGAUGAGGGCCUUUGGGUCGUAAAAUCCUGUCAGAUGGAAAGAAAUGUACAUGUGCUAAUAUCACUUGUAUUUGACGGUACCAUCAAAGGAAGCACCGGCUAACUCCGUGCCAGCAGCCGCGGUAAUACGGAGGGUGCAAGCGUUGUUCGGAAUUACUGGGCGUAAAGCGCGCGUAGGUGGUUGUAUAAGUCAGAUGUGAAAGUCCACGGCUCAACCGUGGAAGUGCAUUUGAAACUGUAUAACUUGAGUAUUGGAGGGGGUAGUGGAAUUCCCGGUGUAGAGGUGAAAUUCGUAGAUAUCGGGAGGAAUACCGGUGGCGAAGGCGACUACCUGGCCAAAUACUGACACUGAGGUGCGAAAGCNGUGGGGAGCAAACAGGAUUAGAUACCCUGGUAGUC
rnacentral:rRNA from 1 species